AUUGAACGCUGGCGGCAUGCUUUACACAUGCAAGUCGAACGGUAACAGGUUAAGCUGACGAGUGGCGAACGGGUGAGUAAUGCAUCGGAACGUGCCCGGUCGUGGGGGAUAACGCAGCGAAAGCUGCGCUAAUACCGCAUACGAUCUGAGGAUGAAAGCGGGGGACCGUAAGGCCUCGCGCGAUCGGAGCGGCCGAUGUCAGAUUAGGUAGUUGGUGGGGUAAAGGCUCACCAAGCCAACGAUCUGUAGCUGGUCUGAGAGGACGACCAGCCACACUGGGACUGAGACACGGCCCAGACUCCUACGGGAGGCAGCAGUGGGGAAUUUUGGACAAUGGGCGCAAGCCUGAUCCAGCCAUUCCGCGUGCAGGAUGAAGGCCUUCGGGUUGUAAACUGCUUUUGUACGGAACGAAAAGGCUCUGGUUAAUACCCGGGGCUCAUGACGGUACCGUAAGAAUAAGCACCGGCUAACUACGUGCCAGCCGCCGCCGUAA
rnacentral:rRNA from 1 species